GCGAGCAGCUUGACUCGUUUGUAUCUCUAGUUGUAGUUGUCGAACAAGCUUUGUAUCUUCUCUUUUUUUUAGUCCACUCUCUGCAAUUUUAAAAUGAUCAUGGAAUUCUCAAAGAUCCGAAAUAGACUUACAAAGUUGUUUGAAUGUUUGAGUAGAUGAGGAGCCUCUUAGGAGGAAUUAAUUUUUAUUUAUUUAUUUUGAUCUUUAAGGUACGGUGUAACUAUUUUUUUAGACUCUUUGUAACCUCCAUUGUAUAUAUAUUUCUCUUUUCAUUAAAGGUUAGGUGGCUGC
rnacentral:lncRNA from 1 species